rnacentral:rRNA from 1 species
UACAGAGGGGGCAAGCGUUGUUCGGAAUUACUGGGCGUAAAGGGCGCGUAGGCGGCCUUCUAAGUCGAACGUGAAAUCCCUGGGCUCAACCCAGGAACUGCGUCCGAUACUGGAAGGCUUGAAUCCGGGAGAGGGAUGCGGAAUUCCUGGUGUAGCGGUGAAAUGCGCAGAUAUCAGGAGGAACACCGAUGGCGAAGGCAGGUCUCUGGGCAUUAACUGACGCUGAGGAGCGAAAGCAUGGGGAGCGAACAGG